UGUCUAUUUUUGUGGCUAUUGUGUGAUUAUAAUUUUUAUUGUUAUAAGGAAGGUUAUCUGAGUAAAGAAAACACAAACUAGUUCAAAUCGAGGCCUUAUCUUUUUUUUGUCACCAAAGUUCUACUUAACUUUAUAAAAGUUUUUAAAUUACAAUUUACAAAUGAUGUGUUUAAAUUACACUAGUUGUUAGAAAAAAAUGUUUUAUAAAAGAUUUUUGUUUCGCUUUGAACAACGUAAAUAAUUUAAAUUUGUUUUAAAUAACGUGAUGAAAUUAUUUGAAAAACUUAAAUAGAGCAAAUGAUGAGUUUAUUCACCCGAAUACGAGAUAAAAUGAAUUUGAGUUUUUAUCAAUUGUAGUGUUAAAAAUUAUGGAAAAUAAACAGAAGUAAUUUUCUUGCUGUUUUUGUUUUAAUUGGUUGAAUUGUUUUAUAUGGGCUUAAUGAUGUGCUUUUUUUUAUAACGACGUAUAUUUUUUGUUCGGAAUAUGCAAGCGAAAGGUGAUUAUUAUAAUUAAAUGAAAAUAUAAACAUGGCUUUGUUUCAGAUACUGGACAGAUAGGAUUUGAAAAGGUUUCUUCCGCCUUUCCGCCAGCAAAUCAUCCAACUUCCAAUUUCUGAGAUCACAA